rnacentral:rRNA from 1 species
AACGAACGCUGGCGGCAUGCCUAACACAUGCAAGUCGAACGAAACCUUCGGGUCUAGUGGCGCGCGGGUGCGUAACGCGGGGGAACCUGCCUUUAGGUUCGGAAUAACUCAGAGAAAUUUGAGCUAAUACCGGAGGAUGUCUUCGGACCAAAGAUUUAUCGCCUUUAGAUGGGCCCGCGUUGGAUUAGAUAGUUGGGGGGGUAAAGGCAUACAAAGGCGACGAUACAUAGCUGGUAUGAGAGGCAGAUCAGCCACACUGGGAGUGAGACACGGCCCAGACUCCUACGGGAGGCAGGAGUGGGGAAUAUUGGACAAUGGGCGAAAGCAUGAUCCAGCAAUGCCGGGAGAGUGAUGAAGGCCUUAGGGUUGUAAAGCUCUUUUACCCGAGAUGAUAAUGACAGUAUCGGGAGAAUAAGCUCCGGCUAACUCCGUG